AAUACAGAGGUCUCAAGCGUUGUUCGGAUUCAUUAGGCGUAAAGGGUGCGUAGGCGGCGCGGUAAGUCGGGUGCGAAAUUUCGAGGCUUAACUUCGAAACUGCAUUCGAUACUGCCGUGCUUGAGGACUGGAGAGGAGACUGGAAUUUACGGUGUAGCGGUGAAAUGCGUAGAUAUCGUAAGGAAGACCAGUGGCGAAGGCGGGUCUCUGGACAGUUCCUGACGCUGAGGCACGAAGGCCAGGGGAGCAAACGGGA
rnacentral:rRNA from 1 species